CUCACUCUCCUCUCUCGUUUUUUCUCUCUCCCAACUCUCCCAAAUGAAAGGACAGAGGAAACCCAUUUCUCAUCUUCCCUUUCUUCUCUUCUCCGUCUUCAAUCUCGUCUGUGGUCAGUUUGGGAGGUUGUGUUUUCUUCUCUGUUUUUAUUUCAUAUUGUUAUCUUUUUUUGUGAGAUCUAGGGCUUCUCUCUAUCUCCUUCGCCCCAAGGAAAGAUCAGAUCAUGAUCAGAGGGCUUUGUAGUAAGCAUGUUCCUAGGGACUCUGUUCUGUAUCAUCAUGCAUAAACUCAACCUAACAGUUGGUAUAAUACCUUCCCUCAAUGUCGCUGCUGGGUUGCUCGGUUUCUUCUUUGUCAAGUCUGGACCGGUUUUCUCUCCAAAUUAGGGUUCUCCAUUGCUCCCUUUACUCGACAGGAGAAUACUGUUAUUCAGACUUGCGUCGUUGCUUGCUAUGGCAUGGCGUUUAGCGGUAGCGGUCUUGCCGCUGGUUGAGAUUGUUCCCUUUUGCUGGAAAUUCAAAGCCUACCGGUUGCAGAGGUAGGCCGGGUUGUAUCGCCGAGUUCAGGACAUGUGGGGAAAACGGCAAGCCGUUUGUCAUGGACAAUGCGAACUAUAUCGUGGAUUUGCAUUUUAAGAAAGAUAUUGGGGAUUUGAAGGUUGCUAGCGAUUCAAUUCUCUCUGAGCAAGAUGCCUUCAUAGAAGAUUGAAACGGAUCACCAAGAUACCGUUCACGAUGUGGCCGUGGAUUAUUAUGGCAAGCGCUUGGCUACGGCUUCUUCCGAUAGCACAAUCAAGAACAGCAGUGCCGUAUCUCUCUCCACAGAAGAUUGAAACGGGCCAUGGAUUAUUAGUUUACUCUCUCUCUCUCUCUUCAUCUGCAAGGAACGAAAAACAGAGAAAAUCGGGAAGAAGCAAGGGGAGCAGGAUUUUGGAAGAUCGCCGCCCCUGCUGCUGUUCAUGUAUGGUGAGGUCGGGGAAUACGAAGAGUCGUUUCUCCCAAUAAUUAUUACAAGGAUAAUAUGGAGAUUAAAAAAUAUUGCAAUGGCGGGAAGGCUAAUGGAAGGGAGUCUUCUGUCGCAAAACAAAGUACAGAGGGGUCUUUAUCACAGAUCCCAUAGUACGGGGGUCUUUGUAAUUUACCCUUUUUUUUUCUGUAGAGACACAUGCUAUCCAACUUUAAUCAACUCUUGCAUAUCACAUGGGUAGCCUUUUGGGGAUAA